rnacentral:rRNA from 1 species
UACGUAGGGGGCUAGCGUUGUCCGGAAUCAUUGGGCGUAAAGAGCGUGUAGGCGGUCCGGUAAGUCCGCUGUGAAAGUCGGGGGCUCAACCCUCGAAUGCCGGUGGAUACUGUCGGGCUAGAGUGCGGAAGAGGCGAGUGGAAUUCCUGGUGUAGCGGUGAAAUGCGCAGAUAUCAGGAGGAACACCGGUGGCGAAGGCGGGUCUCUGGGCCGAAAUUGACGCUGGAGGAGCGAAAGCGUGGGUAGCGAACAGG